rnacentral:rRNA from 1 species
UACGGAGGGGGCUAGCGUUGUUCGGAAUUACGGGGCGUAAAGCGCACGUAGGCGGCUUUGCAAGUCAGAGGUGAAAGCCCGGGGCUCAACCCCGGAAUAGCCUUUGAGACUGCAUCGCUAGAAUUGUGGAGAGGUAAGUGGAAUUCCGAGUGUAGAGGUGAAAUUCGUAGAUAUUCGGAAGAACACCAGUGGCGAAGGCGACUUACUGGACACAUAUUGACGCUGAGGUGCGAAAGCGUGGGGAGCAAACAGG